CGGGGGAGGCAAGCGUUGUUCAGAUUUACUGGGCGUAAAGGGCGCGUAGGCGGCGCGACAAGUCACUUGUGAAAUCUCUGAGCUCAACUCAGAACGGUCAGGUGAUACUGUCGUGCUAGAGUGCGGAAGGGGCAACUGGAAUUCUUGGUGUAGCGGUGAAAUGCGUAGAUAUCAAGAGGAACACCUGCGGCGAAGGCGGGUUGCUGGGCCGACACUGACGCUGAGGCGCGAAAGCUAGGGGAGCGAACGGGAUUAGAUACCCCGGUAGUCCUAGCCUUAAACGAUGAAUGCUUGGUGUCCGGAGUUAGAUAGUCUCCGGGUGCCGUCGCUAACGCUUUAAGCAUUCCGCCUGGGGAGUACGGUCGCAAGACUG
rnacentral:rRNA from 1 species